rnacentral:lncRNA from 1 species
UUUUUGGUCAGUAUAACAGCAGAUUCAUAAAGAAAUUGCAUUAAAAGGCAAAAACGACCAUUCAUCAACUGAGAGCUAAAACACAAUUCACCUGAACUUGAGGCAAAAACACAAUUCACCAAAGUUAUGAACAGUAGUGAACAAUGUUUAUCCCCUUCUUGUUUCAGUAUAUAGAAUGUGCCAUUGUUCUGAUCAAAAAAACGUUUGUGUCCUUGAAAAUUUUGUUACUUCUUUCAUGUCAUUUUUCAUUUUUUUACUUGGUUGUGGGCAUGGUGUCAGAGGUGUCCUUGGUGGGUUUUGACAAGGGGAAAGCCAUGAUAUGAUGGUAGAAUUAAAAAAGGAUGGUAGAGGCUAUGGGGUUGAUGGUGAAUUUUAUGCAUGUGGUGGAAUAGGAGGUGGUAGAAUUGGAGGUGAGCAAUGGAUUUUGCAGGCAUAGAGGCCAUGAUGUUGGUGAUGAAUUUGGGGAAGAUGGAUGUGUUUGUGGUAAAAUACGAGAAGGCGGGGGAAUUGGAGGUAGAUUUAGAAAAGGUGGUGGCAUGGGAGGCAUGAGAUGGGGAUUGAAUAUUGUUCAUCAUUAAAAAAUCCUAGCCUGCAACAACACGCGGGUGGUAUCCCGUGUAUAAUAGAAAGGUAAGAGUUCCCACAAACUGAUAUAGAACAGCUUGCGCAAACAUCUUGCGCAAACAUUUAAGACACAGCUUGCUAGGAAGACAAAGAAAACAAACUCAAAGCAACAGCUUUGAAUCUGCAACGCCAUAGCUUUGUUCCUGCAUAUUUUCUUUCAGCAUUACGAUUAUUUUACUUUCUAUGUUUUCGUUAGGACUUAAGUUUUAUUCAGAAUAAAGGAUUCCUAGACUUAGUCAGGAAUUAGUUCCUAGUUCUAGUAUGAAUAGGUUUAUUUCUAUGCCUAUAGAAGGCCGUUGCUAGAUUGUAUUUUCAUUCAAGUUAUCAAUAAGAAAACCCAAAAAAAUUAGAGUAGAAACUCUUGUGUUUUAGGCUUGUGCCUGUGUUUCGCUAGUGGAUUCUAGCUUAUCCCUUCAAGGUUUCAACGCUUGACGAAACCUUAUUUCUAUUGUGAUUUACGCUUCCGUAUCAUUUGGUAUCCAGAGCGAGGAUUCACCCACUCAAUGGGAGACGAUUCAAGGGAUGAAAUCACCAUCACCAACUUCGCCGACGUUGGUCGUGCGACUAAAGACAUUCAAAAGGAUUUACGGGAUCAUUCAAAACUUGUACCUAACCAGUUCGAAAUCUUCUGACAGUAGACACAAGAUUUUGUGAGAGAAUCUGUGCAAGAUGCAACGAAGGAACUUUGACAGUUAAUUAUGCAGACGAACAUAAAUCAAACAGGAGAUGCUCAUCACACCAACGGAUUUGCCGGAGGUUGUGGAUAUCGCCGAGAACAACGCUACAUGGGAAUUGAUGAUCAAUGUGUUAUGGGAUUCGCCCGUAGAGGUGGCCAUCAACAAGGAGAUCGACGUAUCGGAAGAUUUGAACGUGACCAAGACUUUGAAAAAACCGCACAACGAGAACUCAUUGAAUUUGCCAACUUUAAUGAAAGGGAACCUACUUAUCUACGACGUCAAGGAGGCGAAGACUUUAAGAAUAAGGUUGAUAUCCCUAACUUUACUGGAAAUUUAAAAAUUGACGAGCUCUUAGAUUGGCUUAUGGAAGUUGAGAGGUUCUUUGAGCUUAUGGGAAUCACUGCAAACAAGCGUGUGAAGUAUGCAGCCUAUAAACUAAAUGGUAUUGCAAGGCUUUGGUGGCAGCAAGUACAAGAAGAGCGAUUCGAGUUAGGCUUGGCUCCAAUUGUAACCUGAGACGUUAUGAAGAUGCUCUUGGAAGAAAGAUUUAUGCCUAGUGAUUAUGAAUAUACAUUAUUUGAGCAGUACCAAGAGAUUUCUUAAGAGAACAGAUCAGUACAGGACUUCACAACUGAUUUCUAUCGGCUUGCAGAACGAAACAAAUUGAAAGAGACUAAAGCUCAACAAGUUGCAAGAUAUAUACGGGGAUUAAAUCCUCAAAUUCAGGACAAAAUUGGGUUACUUACGUUCAAGGAUGUUGGAGAAGCUCACAAGAUGGCCUUGAAAGCUGAAAAGCUUGCAAAAAGCACCAUUGCAACAACAAGCAAUCGACGGAGCUGAAAUGACACAACAACUUUCACCAUAACCAAAAAAAGCAUUACAACCAAGCCUCUUAGUAUUUCCAGCAAACCCAUAGAGGGUGGCAGCAAGGUUAGCAGUUAGACCAAAAUGUAUUCUCAAAGCAACACACGUAACUCAGACUCGUACACUAGGCCUCGUUUGGAUGUAUGUUUUAAAUGCAACAAACCAGGGCACAUCUCCAGUAAAUGUCCCCGACAGCAAACUGAAAAGACUGAAAAGACUGAAAAGUACCUUCAUAAAAGGAGAUGAUGAACAACACGAAGAAUAAGAAGAAGACGAGGUGGAGGAAGAAGCAGAAGAACAUUCUAGAGAUGACAGAGAGUACAAUUUAGUUACUCAACGGCUGUUGUGUUCAACAAAACAAGAAAACCAGCGACAUAGUAUCUUUCGGAGUACCUGCACUAUGAAAGAAAAGCUUAUGUCAUUGAUAAUAGACAGUGGAAGUUGUGAGAACUUCGUCUCCAAGAAAGUGGUGGAACACUUCAAUGUUCUUACUAUGAAACAUAGGGCUCCAUAUGCCAUUGGAUGGAUCAAGAAAGGCCCAGAAGUUCACAUCACUGAAACAUGUAAUGUGCCAAUUUCAAUUGGGAAAUUCUAUCAAGAUGAAGUUGAAUGUGAUGUGGUAGACAUGGACACCAGCCACAUACUUUUAGGCAGACCGUGGCAGCAUGAUUUUAACACUAUCCACAAUGGAAGAGAAAACACAUUAUCGUUCAUAUGGGAAAAACACCAUAUUACUUUGAAGCCUAAGACCAAGCCUACGAAUCUGGUUUCGAAAGAGUAACUUUCUUAUUGUUGCUGAAUCUGGUGAAAAGGUGGAAGAACUUGUGAAGGAUGCAGAAGUUAUUUAUCCUUUGGUGGUUAGGGAAGUAAUGGUGGUUGAGAACAACAAAGAGAGAAGAAAAUUCCAAAAGAAGUCCAGCAAUUACUACAGGAUUUUGAAGAAUUAGUCGUUGAUGAUCUCCCAAAUGAACUACCUCCUAUGCAAGAUAUCCAACACCAAAUCAAUCUUGUCCCUGGACCUAGUUUACCUAACCUCCCUCGUUAUCGGAUGAGCCCUAAGGAGAACGAGAUACUUAAAUAGAAAAUUGAAGAGUUACUGCGAAAGGGACACAUUCGAGAAAGCAUGAGCCCUUGUGCAGUGCCUGUUUUGUUAGUACCAAAGAAGGAUGGGAGCUGGAGGAUGUGUGUGGACAGCCGUGCAAUCAACAAGAUCACAAUAAAAUAUCGGUUUCCAAUUCCUCGACUUGAAGAUAUGUUGGAUGUCCUCGGUGGCUCAGUAGUGUUUUCUAAAAUUGAUCUAAGAAGUGGAUAUCAUCAAAUUCGAAUCAAACCAGGCGAUGAAUGGAAGACGGCAUUUAAAAGCAAAGAUGGGCUCUAUGAAUGGUUAGUCAUGCCGUUUGGAUUAUCUAAUGCACCUAGUACUUUCAUGAGUGAUGAAUCAAGUCCUAAAGCCUUAUAUUGGGACGUUUGUGGUGGUAUACUUUGACAACAUACUAAUCUACAGCAAGAGCAAGGGAGAACACUUGCAACAUCUGCAUCAAGUUCUUGAAGUUCUACAAGAGAAUAAGUUGUACAGGAACUUGAAGAAGUGCAGUUUCAUGACCAAGAAGCUUCUGUUUUUAGGUUAUGCGGUCAGCUCAGAAGGUAUACAUGUCGACCAAGACAAGGUAAAAGCAAUUCAGUAGAACAGCUUGCAUAAACAUUUGAGACACAGCUUGCUAGGAAGGCAAAGAAAACAAACUCAAAACAGCAGCUUUGAAUCUGCAACGCAGUAGCUUUGUUCCUGCAUAUUUUCUUUCAGCAUUACGAUUAUUUUACUUUCUAUGUUUUCGUUAGGAUUUAAGUUUUAUUCAGAAUAAAGGAUUCCUAGACUUAGUCAGGAAUUAGUUCCUAGUUCUAGUAUGAAUAGGUUUAUUUCUAUGCCUAUAUAAGGCCCUUGCUAGAUCGUAUUUUCAUUCAAGUUAUCAAUAAGAAAACCCAAAAAAAUUAGAGUAGAAACUCUUGUGUUUUAGGCUUGUGCCUGUGUUUCGCUAGUGGAUUCUAGCUUAUCCCCUUAAGGUUUCAACGCUUGACGAAACCAUAUUUCUAUUGUGAUUU